AGAGACAGCAGCAGCCGCGGUAAUACGUAGGGUGCAAGCGUUAAUCGGAAUUACUGGGCGUAAAGCGUGCGCAGGCGGUUUGUUAAGACAGAUGUGAAAUCCCCGGGCUCAACCUGGGAACUGCAUUUGUGACUGGCAGGCUAGAGUAUGGCAGAGGGGGGUGGAAUUCCGCGUGUAGCAGUGAAAUGCGUAGAUAUGCGGAGGAACACCGAUGGCGAAGGCAGCCCCCUGGGCCAAUACUGACGCUCAUGCACGAAAGCGUGGGGAGCAAACAGGAUUAGAUACCCUGUAGUCCCUGUCUCUUAUACA
rnacentral:rRNA from 1 species